GGGGAAUAUUGCACAAUGGGCGCAAGCCUGAUGCAGCCAUGCCGCGUGUAUGAAGAAGGCCUUCGGGUUGUAAAGUACUUUCAGCGGGGAGGAAGGGAGUAAAGUUAAUACCUUUGCUCAUUGACGUUACCCGCAGAAGAAGCACCGGCUAACUCCGUGCCAGCAGCCGCGGUAAUACGGAGGGUGCAAGCGUUAAUCGGAAUUACUGGGCGUAAAGCACACGCAGGCGGUUUGUUAAGUCAGAUGUGAAAUCCCCGGGCUCAACCUGGGAACUGCAUCUGAUACUGGCAAGCUUGAGUCUCGUAGAGGGGGGUAGAAUUCCAGGUGUAGCGGUGAAAUGCGUAGAGAUCUGGAGGAAUACCGGUGGCGAAGGCGGCCCCCUGGACGAAGACUGACGCUCAGGUGCGAAAGCGUGGGGAGCAAAC
rnacentral:rRNA from 1 species